GACGUAGGGGGCGAGCGUUGUCCGGAUUUAUUGGGCGUAAAGCGCGCGUAGGCGGUCCGGUAAGUCGGGUGUGAAAAUCCGGGGCUCAACCCCGGACCUGCAUUCGAUACUGCCGGGCUGGAGGCAGGUAGGGGAGAGUGGAAUUCCUGGUGUAGCGGUGAAAUGCGCAGAUAUCGGGAGGAACACCGGUGGCGAAGGCGGUUCUCUGGGCCUUACCUGACGCUGAGGAGCGAAAGCGUGGGGAGCGAACAGG
rnacentral:rRNA from 1 species